rnacentral:rRNA from 1 species
ACUGAACGCUGGCGGCAGGCCUAACACAUGCAUGUCGAGCGGAUGAAGGGAGCUUGCUCCUGGAUUCAGCGGCGGACGGGUGAGUAAUGCCUAGGAAUCUGCCUGGUAGUGGGGGAUAACGUCCGGAAACGGGCGCUAAUACCGCAUACGUCCUGAGGGAGAAAGUGGGGGAUCUUCGGACCUCACGCUAUCAGAUGAGCCUAGGUCGGAUUAGCUAGUUGGUGGGGUAAAGGCCUACCAAGGCGACGAUCCGUAACUGGUCUGAGAGGAUGAUCAGUCACACUGGAACUGAGACACGGUCCAGACUCCUACGGGAGGCAGCAGUGGGGAAUAUUGGACAAUGGGCGAAAGCCUGAUCCAGCCAUGCCGCGUGUGUGAAGAAGGUCUUCGGAUUGUAAAGCACUUUAAGUUGGGAGGAAGGGCAGUAAGUUAAUACCUUGCUGUUUUGACGUUACCAACAGAAUAAGCACCGGCUAACUUCGUG